rnacentral:tRNA from 1 species
ACCUGGCUGGCUCAAUCGGUAGAGCAUGCAACUCUUGAUUUUGGGGUCAUGAGUUCAAGCCCCAUGUUGGGUG